GACGAACGCUGGCGGCGUGCUUAACACAUGCAAGUCGAACGGAAAGGCCUGCUUUCCCUUGUGGAUUGCGGGUACUCGAGUGGCGAACGGGUGAGUAACACGUGAGUGAUCUGCCCCCAACUUGGGUAUAAGCCUGGGAAACUGGGUCUAAUUCCCGAUAGGACUGCAGGGUGGUGCCUGUGGUGGAGAACGAUUUUCUAGUGGUUGGGGAUGAGCUCGCGGCCUAUCAGCUUGUUGGUGGGGUAAUGGCCUACCAAGGCGGCGACGGGUAGCCGGCCUGGGAGGGUGGCCGGCCACAUUGGGACUGAGAUACGGCCCAGACUCCUACGGGAGGCAGCAGUGGGGAAUAUUGCACAAUGGGCGGAAGCCUGAGGCAGCGACGCCGCGUGGGGGAGGACGGCCUGCGGGUUGGAAACUCCUUUCGACCGCGAGGAAGCCACCUGGUUGGAAGGGUGGUGACGGUAGUGGUAGAAGAAGCACCGGCUAACUACGU
rnacentral:rRNA from 1 species